UUGACCUCAAAUCAGGUAGGACUACCCGCUGAACUUAAGCAUAUCAAUAAGCGGAGGAAAAGAAACUAACAAGGAUUCCCCUAGUAACUGCGAGUGAACCGGGAAAAGCUCAAAUUUUGAAUCUGGCGGUCUUCAGGC
rnacentral:rRNA from 1 species